rnacentral:rRNA from 1 species
AUACGUAGGCAGCAAGCGUUGUUCGGAGUUACUGGGCGUAAAGAGUGUGUAGGCGGUUCGCCAAGUUCGGUGUGAAAUCUCCCGGCUUAACUGGGAGGGUGCGCCGAAUACUGGCGGGCUAGAGUGCGGGAGAGGAGAGCGGAAUUCCUGGUGUAGCGGUGAAAUGCGUAGAUAUCAGGAGGAACACCUGCGGUGUAGACGGCUCUCUGGACCGUUUCUGACGCUGAGACACGAAAGCGUGGGUAGC